rnacentral:tRNA from 1 species
CGGGGAUUGGAGAAGUUUGGAGUUCUCGCGUGUUUUGGGAACAUGAGAUCACAGGUUCAAAUCCUGUAUCCCCGA